AGAGUUUGAUCCUGGCUCAGAUUGAACGCUGGCGGCAUGCCUUACACAUGCAAGUCGAACGGCAGCGCGGGCGGGGGUAACCUCGCCUGGCGGCGAGUGGCGAACGGGUGAGUAAUAUAUCGGAACGUACCCUGGAGUGGGGGAUAACGUAGCGAAAGUUACGCUAAUACCGCAUACGAUCCAAGGAUGAAAGCAGGGGACCGCAAGGCCUUGUGCUCCUGGAGCGGCCGAUAUCUGAUUAGCUAGUUGGCGGGGUAAAAGCCCACCAAGGCAACGAUCAGUAGCUGGUCUGAGAGGACGACCAGCCACACUGGAACUGAGACACGGUCCAGACUCCUACGGGAGGCAGCAGUGGGGAAUUUUGGACAAUGGGCGCAAGCCUGAUCCAGCAAUGCCGCGUGAGUGAAGAAGGCCUUCGGGUUGU
rnacentral:rRNA from 1 species